GGUUCAGGAUGAACGCUGGCGGCGUGCCUAACACAUGCAAGUCGAACGAAGCACUUAGACAGAACCUUCGGGUGACGUAUUGGUGACUGAGUGGCGGACGGGUGAGUAACGCGUGGGUAACCUGCCCUGUACAGGGGGAUAACAGUUAGAAAUGACUGCUAAUACCGCAUAAGCGCACGAUGGUAGCAUUACCAGGUGUGAAAAACUCCGGUGGUACAGGAUGGGCCCGCGUCUGAUUAGCUAGUUGGCGGGGUAAGAGCCCACCAAGGCGACGAUCAGUAGCCGGUCUGAGAGGAUGAACGGCCACAUUGGAACUGAGACACGGUCCAAACUCCUACGGGAGGCAGCAGUGGGGAAUAUUGCACAAUGGGGGGAACCCUGAUGCAGCAAACCGCCGCGUGAGUGAAGAAGUAUUUCGGUAUGUAAAGCUCUAUCAGCAGGGAAGAUAAUGACGGUACCUGACUAAGAAGCUCCGGCUAAAUACGUGCCAGCCGCAGC
rnacentral:rRNA from 1 species